GGCUCUGUAGUGUAGUGGUUAUCACCCAAGAUUCUGAUUCUUGAUUUCUUGAAACCCAGGUUCGAAUCCUGGCAGGGCCU